CAGUUGUUCCUCAAUUCAUCCAACCAUUGUUGAUGAGUGACUAUGGUUGAGCCACUGGAUACCAAGUACAAAGGAGGAGUAAGCUGAUGUUAAGAAAGAGAAGCAGUGACACAAGGGUGACUCACAGAAUUUCAACACAGACUCCGGAAGAAAGAGAAGCCCGUGGAUACCAGGAAGCGAUGGAGCCAGUCCCUGAAACCUGCUAAGCCAAGAGCAACUGGAUGACAGAAACGUAGUCUGGCAAGUAACAGGCGAUCUCCACAGAGGAAAUGCUGCCAGCUCAUAACACCGGAUGUAAUUAAGACCACAAGAGACACACACUUGGUUAUAAAUGCUGAACUUAGAGGUUACCUAGGAGACUUCAGGUGAUUGACAUGGGGUGGGCAUACAGCUCCAGCAAGGAAAAGAUACUGAGAUUUCCGAAUGGCUAGCUGAGUUCUCUUGGGGAGGAAUUGUGUAUGUUUUCAGCAGCAUUGAAAGAAUUCAGAAGUCAAGAGUACUCUGUGCUCCUCGUAAGAGACCCUGGGGGAAAUAGAGUUAGAGAAAUCCAUUGUUCAUGCAGACGAAAGACAAUCUAUGAAGGAUCAAUGCUUUCCCAUAACUGGGAACAUAAAGGACUCUUCUCUUAGGAAGCCUUCUUCUCGAGGUUUCACCUCCUGAAAGAAGACAGAUCCAACAUCCCCAGCCUCAUACAAGAGGAACGAUGUUAACAGCUAAACUAAUCAAGAUCCCUGACUUCAGGAGGCUCUUACCUCAGCUCUACCAUCAAUCAUGUGAUCUAACUGAUCUUCCGGAUGUCAACUCCCAAGCAAGGGAAUGAGAAGUCUCUCAGGAAGGAUCUCUGUAUACUACCUUCUUCUCCAGGUGAAGCAUGAAAGCAAAGAUCAUACAGCACAGACCCAGGCUCCUAGAAGGCCACUUUGAACAUGUCAUGGAAUUUUAAUUUCGCAACAUCUCCAAAGCCUACUGUCAAGAUAAAGACUAGCAUCUGAUGUUGGCUGAAACUCAACAUUUUCAUUUUAAACUUCAGUUGAAAACUCUGCCUUUCUCACCUGAGUGGACACUCUUGAGUGGCAGUCAUGACACAGUGAAAGCUGCUAUUUUUGUUUGUUUAGAAAUGUCAUAAGCCUUCUCUGCUGAGAACAAAUUCAUUCAACUUACAGUUAUGUUCAAAAAUGCGAUAAAAAAUGCAGUAUCGUUGCUCAAAUGUUCUGGUGACAUUUUCUUAAGCCAAAAGACAUGUGACAGCUAGAAAAGGCAAGAGAAGGCAAGAGAAAAGUAGUGGCGACACGUAGACCUAACAAAGGCUGGAGGGACACUAGUGGAUACUUAAAGUGCAGAGACACUGGAUGCCAAACAGUUAUGCUGCAUGAGUUUUAGUACUGUGGAAGGAACACUGUCCAUGCACGGAGAGGACAGCCAAGUAGCCAACAAACAGCCAAGAGAAGGACAAUUGAGAAGAACUCAGGGCCAAUACAUACUCAGGGCCAAUACACCACCAUGCAAACUUUGUUCCCCAUUGUUUUAUAAGCAGUGCUUUAACUGUGUUAAAAGCAAUGUUUGGAAAAAUCAACAGAAGAAGAGGAAAGACCAAAGGAGAGAGUAAAGAUCAGGCAAGGCACCUUAAAGGAAUGUAAAUGGAGGGGGAGAUUCAAAGGAGGGAAAAUACCAGUUACACUUCAGAUAAUAACUCUGCCAAGACUAAAAGCUAAAAUAUUUAACACAUGCUGGCUUGGCCCUGUACUAAAUGCCUUCUAUGGUUCAUCUGAUUUAAACUUCUUUCGAACUCUACAGAGGUGAAUAAGGCUAUUUCUGUUUGGAUGAUAAGGAAACAAGUGUUAAACCCAGGAUCUGGAAGAAGCUAGCCUGUGAAUUUGGGAGCAGCUUCAUCAGAUUGCUGCAGCCUUUGCAAGUGAAUUAAUUCUGAAUGCAUUUCUCUGUUUUUGUUUUGUUUUGUUGGCUGGUUGGUUUUCCAAGAAACGGUUCCUCUGUGUAGCCCUGGCUGGCCUGGAACUCACUCUAUAGACCAGGCUGGCCUCAAACUCAGAGAUCUGCCUGCGUCUGCCUCCUGAGUGCUGGGAUUAAAGGUAUGUGGCACCACCGCCCAGCUUUGCUGUUUUUAAUCUAGGUAAUGGGGAUUUAAAUUUAAAAUGAUAUAGAUGGUUAUCUUAAUCUUUUAAAAGUUUUCUAAGUCAUAUUUUAGGUUUCUCUUCUGUCCUAAAUAUACUAUCCUCAGCAGAACUUGAAUUUCACUUCAUAAUUCAUAGUAGAGUAAGCAUGGCUGAGACUUGACCGGUCAGGGAUCCAUAGGUCUGUUUUGUUCUUAUCUUUCACUGCAAGCAACAAUGCUCUGAGUUAGUUGCUCCUGGUUUGUCUACUUGGCUGUUCACACUGCCAGCCUCCCAGCUUUCACUGGCUGUUACAAUCCUCAGCUCUAGAAGGAACUUGCCUUUCCCUUUCUCCAAAUUGUCUGCUUGUUCACACCCCUUCUGCAUCAUUUAUUGUCUAUCAACUUCCAAUCAACUCAACUCAUUUUUAUUUUGUUUGGUCCUUCUCCACAGGCUACUUCAUCAGCAAAAAAAGUAGACAUCCUAAGCCAGAUCCAAUUCCCAUGCAAAUUCUCAGCCAGCCAGAACUGAGGGGUUUGUACAGCUUGGUACAGAUUGAGAAGAUUUGCCAUUUCAGGAAUUGACAGUAUUGCCAUUUCAUAGCAGAGUAAACUGAGGCUCAUAACUACCACCUGUAAGUGUAGCUCAGGAUGUGUUUGGUACAUAGGAAGCCGUGGGUCUGAUCUCCAGUACAAAAAAAAGAUCUCCAGCAGAGAAAGAACAAGCUGAGAUUUGAACAUAGUCUUUCUGCCCUUCUACUUCCUGCCACAAUGGGUUUGGAAGAACAAGACAAUCUUUUCUUGCUAUAAGAAAUAGCCAGAUCUUGCUCUAGUAACAACAGCACAAAUGGUCAGGUGGAGAAUGCUGCCUAUUUUUGAACUGGUACCAGUCACGCUGCCACAUGUCAAGAGAGCCCCUUGGCGGUUAGUUUACUGCUGUUCUUGGGCAAAGCUCAGCACUUGCAAUGAAUACUACUGCACAGGUAUAAACAAACACACAAUGAAAUAUAUGUUUCUCUAAGGCAAGUUAGAUAUCUUUUGAAAUGAAGAUAUUGCUAAGAUCAACUUUUUCAUUUCUUUACUCAAAAGCUUUCAUGAUCAUGUCAUUCAAAAAUCCUGUUUUGUCUCCCCAAUGGCCUGGGUGUCUGAGUUGCUCCAUUGAUUUAUUCAAUGUAUGUUAAAUAACUCCUUAGUGCUAAGGAAAGUGCUAGGCAGGAAGAGUCUAGCUAGUGAACUAAUGUGAAUCUGCAUUUACUCCCAAUAACUGUUAACAUUAUCAAUCCUUAAAAAGCAGAUUCAGAGGGCUGAAGACAUAGAUCAGCCACAGGACACCUGCCUAACAUACACCCUGAGUUCCAUCCCCAGCACCCCCAAAAAUGGACUCAUAACCUUGUUUUGUUGUUAUUUCAAAGGUCAAAUUAUUAAAAUGUGUCUCAUUCAAAUAUUCUCAAAUUUAAAGCAGUAUGUAAAUCACCCUUUUAAAAACAAACAGAAAACUUCCUUCAACCUGUAAUAAGAAUCCCUGACUACACCUUGGGCUCCAGGGUCUAAGACUCAGAAAACUAUAGAGAAACAUUUUAAACACAGACAACAACCAAGUAAAAUACACAAACAAAGC